AAGAUUUCUAAUCAGUAAAAAAAAAACCAAUAAAAACAUGUUAUAAGCAAGUUGAAUUGUUAAGAGUUAAGGUAUAAAGAAAUAGUCACAUAACUUUUAAUUGUAUUGGUCAUUACAAAAAAUACUUACAGAUCUUUUAAUCUCUUGAGAGGUAGAAAAGCAUCAGGGUGAAUGUCUCUUAUCUCAUUUUCAGCCAAAUUUCUAUCAAUAAUCAAAAUUUAAAUUUCUUAUUUGGUUUAGAACAAAUACUUCACAGUGGACAGCCCAAUAAAAACAUUUUCUAUAGGAAAUUUGUGUCACAUAUAAUUUCAUGUCUAUUAUUCUGUCAUUUCUGUUAUUGAUCAAUUCUUUUUGAAAAUCUCUUAUCAUCUUUCACCAUAGGAGUGCUGUGACAGUUUGGGUAACCAAAGCCCUCCACUUUUCUCAGUCAGCAGCUGUUCAUAGCAGGAUGUCAUGAGAGAGGCUGGUCCAUUCUAUAAUGUUAUCCAGACAGCUUUUUUUUUGGAUGACCAGUUCUUGGUGGUUCCUCCACUGUAGCUUGAAGAAUGACUUUUGAUACCUCAGCCUCCAACUUUCACAACCAUACAGGAGUACAGAGACUACUUGUGAAGAAUACAUUUUUAAUUUUACUGGGAAGCUGAUUUCACUCUUCUAGAUUUUCCACAGUCGGGUCAUGCAGCUGAUGCUAAGCUUAAACAGAUAUUCCAGGGUGGAUAAUCCUGUAAACGCAUCUUGUGGUAUGUUCUUAAUUGAGUUAGUGUUGAGAGUAAGAUCAACCAGGCUGUCCAUCCCUUUAAAAGGCUGACCAUCAAGAGACUUUAAAAAGUUAUUAGCCAUGUUC